GGAAGUGGGCGCAGCCUGAGCAGCCUGCCGCGUGUGUGAAGAAGGCCUUCGGGUUGUAAAGCACUUUCAGCGAGGAGGAAGGGUUCAGUGUUAAUAGCACUCUUCAUUGACGUUACUCGCAGAAGAAGCACCGGCUAACUCCGUGCCAGCAGCCGCGGUAAUACGGAGGGUGCAAGCGUUAAUCGGAAUUACUGGGCGUAAAGCGCACGCAGGCGGUUUGUUAAGUCAGAUGUGAAAUCCCCGCGCUUAACGUGGGAACUGCAUUUGAAACUGGCAAGCUAGAGUCUUGUAGAGGGGGGUAGAAUUCCAGGUGUAGCGGUGAAAUGCGUAGAGAUCUGGAGGAAUACCGGUGGCGAAGGCGGCCCCCUGGACAAAGACUGACGCUCAGGUGCGAAA
rnacentral:rRNA from 1 species